rnacentral:misc_RNA from 1 species
AACGCACGAGACCUGCGGACCUGCGGAAGGAUCAUUACCGAGUUUACAACUCCCAAACCCAAUGUGAACGUUACCAAACUGUUGCCUCGGCGGGAUCUCUGCCCCGGGUGCGUCGCAGCCCCGGACCAAGGCGCCCGCCGGAGGACCAACCAAAACUCUUUUUGUAUACCCCCUCGCGGGUUUUUAUAUCUGAGCCAUCUCGGCGCCUCUCGUAGGCGUUUCGAAAAUGAAUCAAAACUU